rnacentral:tRNA from 1 species
UGCGGGAUGGUGUAACGGCAGCACGCUCGGUUCUGGUCCGAGAAAUUGGGGUUCGAAUCCCUGUCCCGCAGCCU